CUGCAGCUUCAUUCUUGAAGUCAGACCAAGAACCCAGCAAUUCCCAACACACAGGGACCAGCUUCUUUCCUAACUCACUUAGGCUCUUCGUGCUGCUCUGGCAACUAACACCCUUGGCUGCAGGGGCUUGGACACUACCCUUAGUCACUGACAAUUGUGUGAAGGCUGCUGUCGUUAACUUCACUUGAUCACCUUAGGCUCCUGUGAAGUGGUGAGCAAUUCAAACAAAUUCCUGUCGUCAAAUCAUAAUCCUGAUUUUGUUUGGAAGGACAGCGUGCCUGGUUCCAGGUGUUCAGCUGCAUUGGCGCCAGAGCACCAAUGGGGCAAGAGAAUCCUCUGGAGAAGUUUUCUGUGAUCUCAUCACAGGAGUAGCCCAGAGGAACAGCCCAGGGCCUGGGGCCUAGGAUGGGUGGACCAGGCCAUGCAGCUGGUUGGGGGCUUGACCCCCACUCAAAAAGACAGGAGAGAGAAGGGGAAUGGCUGUAAGCAGUGAAGCUCCUCUUUGAACACUGUAGAAGGUUCCCAUCCUGGCACAGGCAUGAUGGAGAAAUUGCACUGCAGAGAAAUCUUUAAAAGCAAUUACCUAAUACUGCAGAUUGCUGAACUGUACCCACACCCAAGACUGAGCAUUGGAUCAAUCCAGAAUAUACAUCAGGUGUUCUGCAAUGUCUGCCUAAAACCAUGACUCUGCCUCCUCCAGCUGUUGCUACAUCUCACUAUGGGUUUCCUGUGACAUUUUGAGCAAGUAUGCCUCUGUGACUGGGGUUCUUACACUCCAGAAUGGAUGAGAAGCACCCCUCCUGUGGAGCCGGCCGUGGAAACGCCCUGACAUGGAGUCAGAAGCCCGAGCCCGUGUUUCAGACUUGGCGUUCAUUGACCAGAAGAGCUGCUUCACCACUUAACCAUGCAGCUUCAAGGGCUCCAUCUGCAAAACGCAGGCUUGAACCACAGGACUGGUUAUGCUCCUUCUUGUUCUGUGUCCUCUAAAUCCACCCCGUGGGAUGGUUCUCAUCCUCAUUUCUAGGAAAACAAGGCCCAGGUGGAAUCUCUUUUCUCAUCUGCAGGACUGAUGCCUUUCUUGGCCUAAAUUUCAACAACAUGUGACUAUAAAACUUACCUGUGUGUGAACCCUACAGAUAUUUGCGGGGGUGUUGUGUGGGGAGAUGACCCCAUGGUGGGCCCCUAGCGCCGGCCUCUUGCUAUCAUGCUGAGCACGCCCACCUUGCCGCAGCCUAGGAUCUCCCUUUCCCACCGGCACUCUCUUGCCUGGAGUGUGGAUCCACUGUGGCUUUCCCUCGCCCCAUCCUCCAGCUUGGUGGGUAGUAAUAUCUUCUGUCCCUCUUUAGACUCGGGGGCCUAACUGGAAAACAGGUGCAUUGGUAGAUUUAGUAGCAGAGGAGUCCAAGAGUUCUAGUGCUCUACAUGGGCAUGAGACCAAAGCCCAUAAAUACAUGUUCGCGGGGUGCCUACUGUAUACCCAAUGCUGUAAGGUAGUGUCCCCAAAGCAUACUGCUGCAGAACACUAGUUUUGUGGGGUGUUCAACGAUAUUACCUGGAGAAAAGAGUCCAGAAUCUAACAAGUUUGGGAAACUCUGGAUUAAAUAAGGUUAACUAUGUUUCUUUUAGGUAGUCCUUCUCAGAGACUUAAGAUGAGAGCAUGCAUUGGGAACUUCCAAAAUGGGAGAUGCAGUGGGAGGCACUCCCAUAGUUAGGUAACCAGGCAGCCCCUUUUUACUUAUUUUAUUUUAUUUUUUUGAGAUGGAGUCUUACUAUGUUACCCAGGCUGGACUCAAACUUCUGAGCUCAAGCAGUUAUCCCACCUCAGCCUUAUCCCACCUCAGCCUCCUAAGUAGCUGGGACUACAGGCACGAGCCACCACACCUGGCUUUUUUAAAAACAAAGGACCAUAUUUUGGAAACACAUAGGCCCUGUAGCACACAGACCCAUGGGAUCUCCUGGCCACCUGGCCCAGCCCAUCUUCCGCAGAUAUGAAUCCUGGACCUGAGGGAGAAGCGAAGCAACUUGCCCCAGGGCCCCACGGCUAAC
ensembl:lncRNA novel transcript